GAGUAACACUUUAGUACCUGCCCCAAACUCAGGAAUAACUACGAGAAAUCGUAGCUAAUACCGGAUAGUCCCGCAAGGGUAAAGCUUCGGCGGUUUGGGAGGGGCUUGAGGCUUAUCAGCUAGUUGGUGAGGUAAUGGCUCACCAAGGCUAUGACGAGUAGCUGGUCUGAGAGGAUGAUCAGCCACAAUGGGACUGAGAUACGGCCCAUACUCCUACGGGAGGCAGCAGUAAAGAAUCUUCCACAAUGGACGAAAGUCUGAUGGAGCAACACCGCGUGCAGGAUGAAGGUCUUCGGAUUGUAAACUGCUUUUCUGAGGGAAGAAUUAUGACGGUACCUUAGGAAUAAGCACCGGCUAACUCCGUGCCAGCAGCCGCGGUAAUACGGAGGGUGCAAACGUUACCCGGAAUUAUUGGGCGUAAAGGGUCCGUAGGCUGUUUAAUAAGUCAGAUAUUAAAUCUUGGGGCUCAACUCCAAGCUCGUAUCUGAAACUAUUAGACUAGAGGAUUGCAGAGGUAAGUAGAAUUCUGUGUGGAGGGGUUAAAUCCGUAGAUAUACAGAGGAAUACCAAAAGCGAAGGCAACUUACUGGGCAAUUCCUGACGCUGAGGGACGAAAGCGUGGGUAGCGAACGGGAUUAGAUACCCCGGUAGUCCACGCCGUAAACGAUGGAUACUAGAUGUUGGCAUUUCAAUUAUGUCAGUGUCGUAGCUAACGCGUUAAGUAUCCCGCCUGUGGAGUACGAUCGCAAGAUUAAAACAUAAAGGAAUAGACGGGGGCCUACACAAGCGGUGGAGCAUCCGGUUUAAUUCGAUAAUAAGCGGGGAACCUUACCUGGCCUUGACAUCCCGAGAAUCUUUUAGAAAUAAGAGAGUGCCUUUUGGAACUCGGUGACAGGUGCUGCAUGGUCGUCGUCAGCUCGUGCCUUGAGGUGUUCGGUUAAGUCCGGAAACGAGCGAAACCCUUAUCCUAUGUUGUAAUUUCAUGGGAGACUGCCUCGGUCAACGAGGAGGAAGGUAAGGAUGAUGUCAGAUCAGCAUGGCCCUUAUGGCCAGGGCUACACGGGUGCUACAAUGGCGUAUACAGAGGGUCGCAAUACAGCGAUGUGGAGCUAAUCCCUAAAGUACGUCUAAGUUCGGAUUGAAGGCUGCAACUCGCCUUCAUGAUGUUGGAAUCGCUAGUAACCGUAUAUCAGCAAUGGUACGGUGAAUAUGUUCCUAGGCCUUGUACUCACC
rnacentral:rRNA from 1 species